rnacentral:rRNA from 1 species
UACAGGGGGUGCAAACGUUGCUCGGAAUUAUUGGGCGCAAAGCGCGCGUAGGCGGCUACUUAAGUCGGAUGUGAAAGCCCCUGGCUCAACUGGGGAAGUGCACCCGAAACUGAGUGGCUUGAGUGCGAAAGAGGGUCGCGGAAUUCCCGGUGUAGAGGUGAAAUUCGUAGAUAUCGGGAGGAACACCGGUGGCGAAGGCGGCGACCUGGGUCGACACUGACGCUGAGGCGCGAAAGCGUGGGGAGCAAACAGG